AGACACCAAAAAAAAAGGGGCUGUUUUUGAGCGAUUUAACACAGAGAACGUCAUCUCUACUUCCAAAACAUUUCAAUCAGAUUACAAUAAGAUUUGAUGACAGGACAUAUGGCUGCGACGGACCUCCUUCUGUGGAGACUUAAUAAGGAGAGAGUGGAGUAAUCCCCCCCCGUUUUUCAUCUGCUCUUCUCUGUCAACCCCGCGGGGAUGUAAAGCGGCAUCAGAUUUCUGUCCCCUUUUUUUAUCUGAUGUAAUGGAUUUGCAACAGCCUCAACCUGGAGCAACAACUCAGACAGAUCGGCUUUCUGAGGGGAAGGUGGGUGAGUGAGAGGAGUGUGGGAAGGAGGAAGAAAAGGGGUAUCGUGUGUGAUUUGGGGCCAGGAAGAGAGGACAGAAGGGAGGUAAACUUGGGACUGUGAAAAUCUGGUUUUCCUUUUUUUUUUUUGCUGUAGACUGUAAAUCCGAGCAGCCAAGUCGAAAAAAACAUUUUUAGGUCAGCCUCCUAGUUAAUUAUAGAGAUUUGGAGAACUUCUGGAUUCCUCUCAAUUGGCAAAAUGACUUAAGAAGUGUUCGCUGACUGGUGCCAAAACAACAGCAAACUCGUGUUCGAACUAAUACUUUAAAUGGAGCUGCUGGAAAUAGGGCAGUGUGGUUAUAUCUUCCUUAACUUUUCAGCAGCAGCACCAACAUGAUGCACUCUUUCCUCCGCGUCUUCAUCACGAUUUUAUCACCCGAGAGGUGAAAUUCCCAGACCGGUACCUGGUGGAGGAAAUAAUGAUGGGGCUCGGCAACGGCAGGAUGGAGAAGCGGGAAGAUGAAGUGAUAGGAGACCGGGGGGAGUAAUGAUGGUGUGUUGGGAGGAGGGCUGUCAGGGUGUCAAAUUCACACCGUAUGAUUAUCAUGAUAAUGAUAUUUUUAUGAUACUUACAGAAAAGUAGGACAAAACAACAACAUAGUCCAACAGAUUACAGGUAAAGCAAAAAGAAAAAACAUGAUUUACUUGCAGGACACUCGAGUGGACAGGACAGAGGAUAAGAAAGGACACAGGGGAGGGAUUGGGAAAGGAGCUACAGAUCAGAAUCAAACCCAGACCGUCUGCAGGGGGGUUGUGACCUCUGUGUUCUGGGCACAUGUGUAGACGGCCAGUCUAGGAUGGUUAAUGUCAGUAUAGGUUACAGCAGCAGUUCCUAGCCUAGAGUAGAGGGCCCGACAGACUCGCCUGGGGGAACGAUUGGGCCAGCUGAUGGAGUGGACCGGUCAAAAUACUGUCCGAUUUCGUGUUCCCACCUGAAUAAAACUAUAAAAUAAAACUAUAGUCUUCACCCUUUUCUUCCACAUUACACAGAGUUAAAGGCAUGAUUGACGAUUGGAGGGAUUGGUAAUUAUUAUGGACCUCGUUUCUAUGGCGAUCAUGGUCCUAUAGUGCGAUCUCCACAAAGUAAAGAGAAAAAAGAAUAGAAGAAAUCCGUUCAUCUGAGCCAUCAUCCCGGACAGCUUCUAUUGGUCAAUCUCCUGCUCCGCCUCUCCAUCCAAUCACCUCGCUGUAUUCUACACACCCCUCUCCCGUAGUUCCGACUCCUCCCCUCCCUCUCUCCCGGCCCUCCUCGGAGCUCUGAGUGGCGAGAAGUUGCAUAGCAGCUUAGCUACAGGAGCUAUGAUAGAGAAGGACACACACACAAAAAAAAAACCACUUCUGCUCGCCCCAACGCCAAAAGUGGGAAGAAAACGCAAGCCAACAGAAGAAAGGGCAGAGACAUGGUGAAUCUUAUUUGAAGCUAGCGUCGGAUCUUCUACCGGACGGCUUCUUGCUCUGCCAGAGGGGAUGUGUCGUGGGGAGGGCGAUUCAGGUUUGGGGGGGAGUUAUCGUGUCAACCAUGAUUGUUUCAGAGAAAGAUUUUGCACUCCAUAACUUAUAAGACCAGGUGAGCUCAUGUCAUGUCAGGUGGUGCGUUCUUCCGUUCCUCCCAUUAUUUCCAGAUCUUGCGGCGAGAGCUUGUUUCUGAUGAGAGAGGAGACCAUCUGUGAUUAUCAAACUGAAAGGGAACUUGUUAAAAGAUAAAAGGAGUCGAAUCGAGGGAUUCAGGUGUGAGGAGAGGAACUGAAGAAGAAGAAGAAGGAGUGAGUAAGAUGUAAAGGACUGUCCUGAUUGUUUUUGUGUGUGUUGGAUUUACGGGACAAUGUAUUCAGGUUUUCUGCUCUAUCAUCCAAAAUGCCUCCACAGUGGGUUGACCUUGCAGCAUGUACACUCGCUCAGUCUGCCGUCUGGCCCGCCGAGAGCUGCAGUUAGCCCAGAUGUGUAUCAGUGGCGUCUGAUGGCGAGCGGCCAAGCGUUAAAAAACACACACUUUCCUAAUUUCCCUCUGGCCAUUUUAAAUACCCGUCUUCCUCUCCAUUUUUCUCUGUGUAAUUAUUCUUUGGUGGCUCGGUGUCAUUAUUUAUCAUCACGCUCCUCUUUCAUCUGUAGUCUUAUCUACAGAGCCAGCUCCCUCUGCCAGACUCGCCAGGACUAUCGCCAGCUACAUAAACAUUUUACUGACAAGGACGGUCAACUGUUUACUGACGAAGCAAAAGUCUUACUGGCAGCAGCCACAUUGCGGGCGUGCACGAGUCCGCGCGCACGAGGAAAUGUGUGUGUGUGUUUGUGAGAAACAAAGAGAAAGAGAGAGAGAGCCCCUAAUGUACGGCUACUCUUGGUGUGGCCACCUACAGGUAUCUCUGCAGGGACCCAUUUGUCGAAUGCACUUAGUGCUGCUUCAACCUUGGACUCUUUACUACAAGUCUAAGCAACACAAAGUGUAGAGUAGAUGGAAUAUAAAGGGCUCUCUGUUCUCAUCCACAAACCUUUAUUCCUUUGUACUCCGCCUCUCUGUCCUGCACCCCCCUCCGCCGAUCUGUGCCGUUUCUCUGCGGGUGUCUAUUCUUAGGCUCGCUCGUAUUCUACACAAAUAAAAUGCAAAUAGUUUCCC